CCCAAGGUCCUCAUCAGGGAAGACACGAAGAGUUGGGAUAUUUCAAGAAAAGCAAGAAGCAAUGGUCACAUGCUUGGGAGUUGGUGAAGGGAAUCCAUAGAAGACGGAAGACUUCUGGAGUCCACACUGAACCAGAAGCAUGGAGGUCAAAGGACACUCUGGUAAUUCAGAUAGGAGACAUUGAUGGCUUGAACUAAAGGAACACAGUGGAAAGAAGAAAAUAUAUUUGAAAGGUUCUGUGGGAGCUGGACAAGAAGAGAAGAAAAGAAAAGCACAGACACUGUAUCUCAAGAUGCUUUCC